rnacentral:tRNA from 1 species
GUCGAUAUAGUUUAACCAAGACGUUAGAUUGUGAUUCUAAAAACAGAAGCUAAAAUCUUCUUAUCCACC